AUUGAACGCUGGCGGAAUGCUUUACACAUGCAAGUCGAACGGCAGCACGGACUUCGGUCUGGUGGCGAGUGGCGAACGGGUGAGUAAUGUAUCGGAACGUGCCCAGUCGUGGGGGAUAACGUAGUGAAAAUUACGCUAAUACCGCAUACGAUCUAUGGAUGAAAGCGGGGGAUCGCAAGACCUCGCGCGAUUGGAGCGGCCGAUAUCAGAUUAGGUAGUUGGUGGGGUAAAGGCCCACCAAGCCAACGAUCUGGAGCGGGUCUGAGAGGACGACCUGCCACGCUGGAACUGGGACGCGGUGCAGACUGCUACGGGAGGCAGCAGUGGGGAAUUUUGGACAAGGGGCGAAAGCCUGAUCCAGCCAUUCCGAGUGCAGGAUGAAGGCCCUCGGGUUGUAAACUGCUUUUGUACAGAACGAAAAGGUUUCUACUAAUACUAGGAGCUCAUGACGGUACUGUAAGAAUAAGCACCGGCUAACUACGUGCCAGCCGCCGCCGUAA
rnacentral:rRNA from 1 species